rnacentral:rRNA from 1 species
CCUACGGGUGGCUGCAGUGGGGAAUAUUGGACAAUGGGCGAAAGCCUGAUCCAGCCAUGCCGCGUGUGUGAAGAAUGCCUUCGGGUUGUAAAGCACUUUCAGUGGGGAAGAAAGCCUUGGGGCUAAUACCCUCGAGGAAGGACAUCACCCACAGAAGAAGCACCGGCUAACUCCGUGCCAGCAAGCCGCGGUAAUACGGAGGGUGCGAGCGUUAAUCGGAAUUACUGGGCGUAAAGCGCGCGUAGGCGGUCUGAUAAGCCGGUUGUGAAAGCCCCGGGCUCAACCUGGGAACGGCAUCCGGAACUGUCAGGCUAGAGUGCAGGAGAGGAAGGUAGAAUUCCCGGUGUAGCGGUGAAAUGCGUAGAGAUCGGGAGGAAUACCAGUGGCGAAGGCGGCCUUCUGGACUGACACUGACGCUGAGGUGCGAAAGCGUGGGUAGCAAACAGGAUUAGAUACCCGAGUAGUC